rnacentral:rRNA from 1 species
GGACCUCAUAAAGUGCGUCGUAGUCCGGAUUGGAGUCUGCAACUCGACUCCAUGAAGUCGGAAUCGCUAGUAAUCGUGGAUCAGAAUGCCACGGUGAAUACGUUCCCGGGCCUUGUACACACCGCCCGUCACACCAUGGGAGUGGGUUGCAAAAGAAGUAGGUAGCUUAACCUUCGGGAGGGCGCUUACCACUUUGUGAUUCAUGACUGGGGUGAAGUCGUAACAAGGUAACCGUAGGGGAACCUGCGGUUGGAUCACCUCCUUA